rnacentral:rRNA from 1 species
CCUACGGGUGGCAGCAGUGAGGAAUAUUGGUCAAUGGACGUAAGUCUGAACCAGCCAAGUAGCGUGAAGGAUGACGGCCCUAUGGGUUGUAAACUUCUUUUAUAGGGGAAUAAAAUUAUCCACGUGUGGAUAUUUGUAUGUACCAUAUGAAUAAGGAUCGGCUAACUCCGUGCCAGCAGCCGCGGUAAUACGGAGGAUCCGAGCGUUAUCCGGAUUUAUUGGGUUUAAAGGGAGCGUAGGUGGCUUUUUAAGUCAGCUGUGAAAGUUUGUGGCUCAACCAUAAAAUUGCAGUUGAAACUGGAAGUCUUGAGUGCGGUAGAGGUAGGCGGAAUGCGUGGUGUAGCGGUGAAAUGCUUAGAUAUCACGAAGAACUCCGAUUGCGAAGGCAGCUUACUGGACCGUAACUGACACUGAAGCUCGAAAGCGUGGGUAUCAAACAGGAUUAGAUACCCGAGUAGUC